rnacentral:rRNA from 1 species
AUACGGAGGAUGCAAGCGUUAUCCGGAUUCAUUGGGUUUAAAGGGUGCGCAGGCGGAAUGAUAAGUCAGUGGUGAAAUCCUACAGCUCAACUGUAGAACUGCCAUUGAUACUGUUGUUCUUGAGUACACUUGGAGUGGGCGGAAUGUGUCAUGUAGCGGUGAAAUGCUUAGAUAUGACACAGAACACCGAUCGCGAAGGCAGCUCACUAAAUUGUAACUGACGCUCAUGCACGAAAGCGUGGGGAUC